AUGAAUCUAUUGGCCUGGAACUGUCGAGGCUUGGGGUUGGACUCGACAGUGGGCGAGCUUCGCGACCUGAUACGGUCUUACAACCCAGCGGUGGUUUUCUUGUCUGAAACAAAGAAGAAAGUGAGGGCAAUGGAUAAGUUGAAGUGGAGUUUGGGGUUCAGAUGUGGUGUAUCUGUGGAUUGUCAGGGGAGAAGUGGUGGUUUGGCAUUGUGGUGGAGGGAUAGUGUGGAUGUUUUGGUGCGGCCCUUUUGUCAAUACUUCAUUGAUGCAAAGAUUGUAUAUGAAGGGAAAACCCUUAGAUUCACUGGAUUCUAUGGGGAACCCCGCACAGAGUUGCGGAAAAAGUCCUGGGAUGCUAUUAGAUACCUAAAAGUGCAGGAUGAUCUUCCUUGGGUUUGUGCUGGAGACUUCAACGAAGCGUUAUUCCAGUCGGAUCAGAUUGGGGGGAACCCAAGGAGCUUUGGCCAAAUGGAAGAUUUUAGGGACUGUUUGGAUGAAUGUGGACUUGCUGACUUGGGCUUCACCGGCUAUCAAUACACGUGGGAUAAUAAGCGGGAGGGUAUGGAUAAUGUUCAGGUUCGACUGGAUAGGGCGACAUGCAAUGAUAGUUUCUUGGCUCUGUUUCCUCACACUUUUGUCGAGCAUGUGAUAACGGAGGAAUCGGACCACCAGGCAAUCUUGGUUCAUGCGCUGGAGACAGCUCCGCGUACUGGCAACCGAAGCAUUCGGCUGUUUCGAUUCGAGGAGGCAUGGACUCGCCAUGCUCAGUAUGACACGAUGAUUGAGUCUGCAUGGAUUCAGUCCAGGGGGUGA
rnacentral:rRNA from 1 species